rnacentral:rRNA from 1 species
AUUGAACGCUGGCGGCAGGCUUAACACAUGCAAGUCGAGCGGGGGAAGGUAGCUUGCUACCGGACCUAGCGGCGGACGGGUGAGUAAUGCUUAGGAAUCUGCCUAUUAGUGGGGGACAACAUCUCGAAAGGGAUGCUAAUACCGCAUACGUCCUACGGGAGAAAGCAGGGGAUCUUCGGACCUUGCGCUAAUAGAUGAGCCUAAGUCGGAUUAGCUAGUUGGCGGGGUAAAGGCCUACCAAGGCGACGAUCUGUAGCGGGUCUGAGAGGAUGAUCCGCCACACUGGGACUGAGACACGGCCCAGACUCCUACGGGAGGCAGCAGUGGGGAAUAUUGGACAAUGGGGGGAACCCUGAUCCAGCCAUGCCGCGUGUGUGAAGAAGGCCUUAUGGUUGUAAAGCACUUUAAGCGAGGAGGAGGCUACUCUAGUUAAUACCUAGGGAUAGUGGACGUUACUCGCAGAAUAAGCACCGGCUAGCUCUGUGCCAGCAGCCGCGGUAA